rnacentral:rRNA from 1 species
AGUGAACGCUGGCGGUAGGCCUAACACAUGCAAGUCGAACGGCAGCACAGUAAGAGCUUGCUCUUACGGGUGGCGAGUGGCGGACGGGUGAGGAAUACAUCGGAUUCUACUUUUUCGUGGGGGAUAACGUAGGGAAACUUACGCUAAUACCGCAUACGACCUACGGGUGAAAGCAGGGGAUCUUCGGACCUUGCGCGAUUCAAUGAGCCGAUGUCGGAUUAGCUAGUUGGCGGGGUAAAGGCCCACCAAGGCGACGAUCCGUAGCUGGUCUGAGAGGAUGAUCAGCCACACUGGAACUGAGACACGGUCCAGACUCCUACGGGAGGCAGCAGUAGGGAAUAUUGGACAAUGGGCGCAAGCCUGAUCCAGCCAUACCGCGUGGGUGAAGAAGGCCUUCGGGUUGUAAAGCCCUUUUGUUGGGAAAGAAAAACAGCAGGUUAAUACCCCGCUGUUCUGACGGUACCCAAAGAAUAAGCACCGGCUAACUUCGUG